UUACCCUAACCACCAUCACUGUCGUUUGAAUUUUGUGGAAGCGUUUUAUGUGUCGAAAGUGUUUUCCGGGAAAUAGCAUAUUUAAACGUAUUGCUUAUACAAAAUAAUAUUAACAAAAGUGUGUGCAAGUGUUUGUAAAUAAAGUGUGCAUGUGUACAACUACAAUGCGUUGAUUUGUAACAUAAAAGUGCAAACUCAUGCAAGUGUCCUCGGCGCAAAUCGUGUUAUAACCUGCAAUUUUUACAGUUACAUGUUGUUAGUGCUGCGCUAGGGAUAACAGCGCUCUAACUGUGUUUUAGUAAUUAUCAUAUUUACACCAACUAAUGGAUUAGUUAAAGCGACAGCGCAGAAAUCUAAAAAAAUAGCGCACACGAGGAACCGCAUGGCAACAAAACACUAGACAUUGGAGCUCAGCUUUCAUAAUUACAUACUAAGAUAUUAGAGCUUCGCUCUCUAACCCAGCUUCUACCGAACUCGCCUAGGCGCUCUCGUUUAGCACUAUUUUCUACUCGGCGAAUGCACUUCCGAGAACCCGACAGUAAUGGCUUUUCAAAUAACAUUGCAUAACCGACAGGACAAAAAUGAUACAAUUAAUAAACACUUCUUCGUUUCCAAGUUUUUCGAAAAUUUCAAAUUGAACUAUGU